GACGAACGCUGGCGGCGUGCUUAACACAUGCAAGUCGAACGGAAAGGCCCUGCUUUUGUGGGGUGCUCGAGUGGCGAACGGGUGAGUAACACGUGAGUAACCUGCCCUUGACUUUGGGAUAACUUCAGGAAACUGGGGCUAAUACAGGAUAGGAGCCCCUGCUGCAUGGUGGGGGUUGGAAAGUCUCGGCGGUUGGGGAUGGACUCGCGGCUUAUCAGCUUGUUGGUGGGGUAGUGGCUUACCAAGGCUUUGACGGGUAGCCGGCCUGAGAGGGUGACCGGCCACAUUGGGACUGAGAUACGGCCCAGACGCCUACGGGAGGCAGCAGUGGGGAAUAUUGCACAAUGGGCGGAAGCCUGAUGCAGCAACGCCGCGUGCGGGAUGACGGCCUUCGGGUUGUAAACCGCUUUCGCCUGUGACGAAGCGUGAGUGACGGUAAUGGGUAAAGAAGCACCGGCUAACUACGUG
rnacentral:rRNA from 1 species